rnacentral:rRNA from 1 species
AAUCUUCCGCAAUGGACGCAAGUCUGACGGAGCAACGCCGCGUGAGUGAGGAAGGUCUUCGGAUCGUAAAGCUCUGUUGCCAGGGAAGAACGCUUCGGGGAGUAACUGCCCGGAAGGUGACGGUACCUGAGCAGAAAGCCCCGGCUAACUACGUGCCAGCAGCCGCGGUAAUACGUAGGGGGCAAGCGUUGUCCGGAAUUAUUGGGCGUAAAGCGCGCGCAGGCGGUCGUUUAAGUUUGGUGUUUAAGCCCGGGGCUCAACCCCGGAUCGCAUCGAAAACUGGGCGACUGGAGUGCAGGAGAGGAAAGUGGAAUUCCACGUGUAGCGGUGAAAUGCGUAGAUAUGUGGAGGAACACCAGUGGCGAAGGCGACUUUCUGGUCUGUAACUGACGCUGAGGCGCGAAAGCGUGGGGAGCAAACAG